rnacentral:rRNA from 1 species
CCUACGGGGGGCAGCAGUGGGGAAUAUUGGGCAAUGGGCGCAAGCCUGACCCAGCAACGCCGCGUGAAGGAAGAAGGCCCUCGGGUUGUAAACUUCUUUUAUUCGGGACGAAACAGAUGACGGUACCGAAUGAAUAAGCCACGGCUAACUACGUGCCAGCAGCCGCGGUAAUACGUAGGUGGCAAGCGUUAUCCGGAUUUACUGGGUGUAAAGGGCGUGUAGGCGGGAGAGCAAGUCAGACGUGAAAUUCC